CUUGUUCAAGUUUCUUAAGGUUAAUCCUACCUUCAACAACGCUUUGAGCAAGGCCCAAUAUGCGACUCGCUCUAUAACCAAGAUUGCACCUCUUUCCCAGAAAAUCUACAUCAAGGCCUGCUAAUUCUUCUGGGCCAGGAAAGUUCCCCAUGGCACUGUGGAAGGGCAAUUCUGUCUUUUCACUAUUUAAUUCAUCCACCUUUAAGGAGUUUUUGGAGCAAUAUUAGUAAUCUGCAGCUCCAGUUGCAGUUCACAAAGAGCUCUAGCCAUGCUUAAUGUCCUAGACCACCUAAAAUGAGGAGAAAGAAAAGGUCACUGACAUGCAACUUUAAAAAGAAAAAUACGAUUAAUCAUUAAACCGGCCAGAAAUCAUGUCAGUCAUGGACGUCUUAAUUAAGCAAUAGGCAUAUUGAAGCAAGAUAAAAGUUAUAAAUGAAUUAGUCGACUUCGCUUGUGUUGUGUUAUAGUCGAAUUGUUUUAGGUUAAUUGGUAAAAUGGAAUAAAAGAUGGCAUUUUCAUAACAAUAUUAUAUUAAUAAGUCUUAACAGAUUUGGUUUAGUAAUUAGUAUGCAUGCACUUAUUUUUCUUUCAGUAUUUGCUUUAUCCUCAUAACUUGGAUUUUACUACUAUAUAUAUUCAAUAACAAAUGUGAAACAGACGAAUUAGUCCCUCAACUUCUAAUGUUGUUAUCUCAGUCUGCAAAAUUUACGUUGUCUUGAUGUUCGACUUCUAGCCCCUCACUCUGCUGACACAAGUGAUGAUCAUCAAUAACUUUGGCAUAAGUUGAUGAUGUAAACAGAGCAAUAGUAAACUCGUCAAUCCGUCAAAAAGCAUUCAUUCCUAGGAUCGAAUGCAACAUGCAUCAACUCAUUUUCUUAAGACAUUGGCUUGAAAAGUUACAAAUUUGAGGGGAAGAAGGGGAAGAAUCAGGUUUCUUUGUUUGUGUUAUUAAACUUGGUUCUCAACAGCAGAUAUAGCAAUCAAAUAUCACAUACCAGCAAAGUUUAAAAAAAACAGAUACGAGUUUCGAGGCGUUUUCCCUUCGCCUCACGAGUUGCAAGCCUCGAGGCGGAAUUAAAAAAUAAAUAGAAAUAUUAUAUAUCUUAUAAAAAUAGUAAUACUAACUAAAUUCAUCAUCAAAUUCAUCAAAAUAAUCAAAAACACACAUAAAAAAGACAUAAAUUGCUUGAAAUU
rnacentral:lncRNA from 1 species